rnacentral:rRNA from 1 species
CCUACGGGGGCAGCAGUGAGGAAUAUUGGUCAAUGGACGAGAGUCUGAACCAGCCAAGUAGCGUUAAGGAUGACUGCCCUAUGGGUUGUAAACUUCUUUUAUAAAGGAAUAAAACGAGGCACGUGUGCCUUUUUGCAUGUACUUUAUGAAUAAGGAUCGGCUAACUCCGUGCCAGCAGCCGCGGUAAUACGGAGGAUCCGAGCGUUAUCCGGAUUUAUUGGGUUUAAAGGGAGCGUAGAUGGGUUGUUAAGUCAGUUGUGAAAGUUUGCGGCUCAACCGUAAAAUUGCAAUUGAUACUGGCAGUCGUGAGUACAGUUGAGGUAAGCGGAAUUCGUGGUGUAGCGGUGAAAUGCUUAGAUAUCACGAAGAACCCCGAUUGCGAAGGCAGCUUACUAAACUGUGACUGACAUUGAUGCUCGAAAGUGUGUGUAUCAAACAGGAUUAGAUACCCCAGUAGUC